rnacentral:lncRNA from 1 species
UUCCUCUCGUUAUACAGGUGGGCGCCUGAUACAUGAAAUAUAAAGACUGAAAUGUAUACCCACAUUAUAUUGGUGGGCGACCUAGGACAUGAAAUGUAAAGAUGCAUACCCUCAUUAUACUGGUGGGCGACCUAGGACAGGAAAUGAAAAAAUGCAUACCCUCAUUAUACUGGUGGGCGACCUAGGACAUGAAAUGUAAAGACAGAAUUGUAUACCCUCAUUAUACUGGUGGGCGACCUAUGACAGGAAAUGAAAAAAAUGCAUACCCUCAUUAUACGGUGGGCGACCUAGGACAGGAAAUGAAAAAAAAUGCAUACCCUCAUUAUACUGGUGGGUGACAUAGGACAUGAAAUGUAAAGAUGCAUACCCUCAUUAUACUGGUGGGCGACCUAGGACAGGAAAUGAAAAAAUGCAUUCCCUCGUUAUACUGGAGGGCGACCUAGGACAUGAAAUGAAAAGAUAGAAUUGUAUACCCUCAUUAUAGUGGUGGGCGACCUAGGACAGGAAAUGAAAAAAUGCAUACCCUCAUUAUACUGGUGGGCGACCUAGGACAUGAAAUGUAAAGAUGCAUACCCUUAUUAUACUGGUGGGUGACCUAGGACA